rnacentral:misc_RNA from 1 species
AACGCACAUUGCGCCCCUUGGUAUUCCGAGGGGCAUGCCUGUUCGAGCGUCAUUAUACAAUCUCUCAAGCCUGGCUUGGUGUUGGGUCUUCGUCCCCUCGUCCCUGCCGCCCAAGUGGGUGCGAAGGACUCGGACGUACCUGAAAAUUAGUGGCGGUGCUCAUGAUGGUCUCAAGCGUAGCAGACUCUCUCUCGCUUUGGAUGGCCUGUCAUGUAGCUCACCAGCCUUGCAUGCAUCUUCAACUAAGGUUUGACCUCGGAUCAGGUAGGGAUACCCGCUGAACUUAA